rnacentral:rRNA from 1 species
AUUGAACGCUGGCGGCAGGCCUAACACAUGCAAGUCGAACGGUAACAGGAAGAAGCUUGCUUCUUUGCUGACGAGUGGCGGCCGGGUGAGUAAUGUCUGGGAAACUGCCUGAUGGAGGGGGAUAACUACUGGAAACGGUAGCUAAUACCGCAUAACGUCGCAAGACCAAAGAGGGGGACCUUCGGGCCUCUUGCCAUCGGAUGUGCCCAGAUGGGAUUAGCUAGUAGGUGGGGUAACGGCUCACCUAGGCGACGAUCCCUAGCUGGUCUGAGAGGAUGACCAGCCACACUGGAACUGAGACACGGUCCAGACUCCUACGGGAGGCAGCAGUGGGGAAUAUUGCACAAUGGGCGCAAGCCUGAUGCAGCCAUGCCGCGUGUAUGAAGAAGGCCUUCGGGUUGUAAAGUACUUUCAGCGGGGAGGAAGGGAGUAAGGUUAAUACCUUUGCUCAUUGACGUUACCCGCAGAAGAAGCACCGGCUAACUCCGUG